rnacentral:rRNA from 1 species
UACAGAGGUCCCGAGCGUUGUUCGGAUUCAUUGGGCGUAAAGGGUGCGUAGGCGGCGGGGCAAGUCUGAUGUGAAAUCCCGGGGCUCAACCCCGGAACUGCAUUGGAUACUGCCUUGCUAGAGUACUGGAGAGGGAACUGGAAUUCCCGGUGUAGCGGUGAAAUGCGUAGAGAUCGGGAGGAACACCAGAGGCGAAGGCGGCGACCUGGACAAUUACUGACACUCAACUACGAAAGCGUGGGGAGCAAACAGG